rnacentral:rRNA from 1 species
AAUGAACGCUGGCGGCAGGCCUAACACAUGCAAGUCGAACGGAUCCUUCGGGACUAGUGGCGGACGGGUGAGUAACGCGUGGGAACAUACCCAAAGGUACGGAAUAGCCUCGGGAAACUGGGAGUAAUACCGUAUGUGCUCGAAAGAGGAAAGAUUUAUCGCCUUUGGAUUGGCCCGCGUUGGGUUAGGUAGUUGGUGGGGUAAUGGCCUACCAAGCCGACGAUCCAUAGCUGGUUUGAGAGGAUGAUCAGCCACGCUGGGACUGAGACACGGCCCAGACUCCUACGGGAGGCAGCAGUGGGGAAUCUUAGACAAUGGGGGAAACCCUGAUCUAGCCAUGCCGCGUGAUCGAUGAAGGCCUUAGGGUUGCAAAGAUCUUUCAGGUGGGAAGAUAAUGACUGUACCACCAGAAGAAGCCCCGGCUAACUCCGUGCCAGCCGCCGCAGUAA